rnacentral:rRNA from 1 species
GACGAACGCUGGCGGCGUGCCUAAUACAUGCAAGUUGAGCGCUGAAGGUUGGUACUUGUACCAACUGGAUGAGCAGCGAACGGGUGAGUAACGCGUGGGGAAUCUGCCUUCGAGCGGGGGACAACAUUUGGAAACGAAUGCUAAUACCGCAUAAAAACUUUAAACACAAGUUUUAAGUUUGAAAGAUGCAAUUGCAUCACUCAAAGAUGAUCCCGCGUUGUAUUAGCUAGUUGGUGAGGUAAAGGCUCACCAAGGCGAUGAUACAUAGCCGACCUGAGAGGGUGAUCGGCCACAGUGGGACUGAGACACGGCCCAAACUCCUACGGGAGGCAGCAGUAGGGAAUCUUCGGCAAUGGACGAAAGUCUGACCGAGCAACGCCGCGUGAGUGAAGAAGGUUUUCGGAUCGUAAAACUCUGUUGGUAGAGAAGAACGUUGGUGAGAGUGGAAAGAUCAUCAAGUGACGGUAACUACCCAGAAAGGGACGGCUAACUACGUG